GAUGAACGCUAGCUACAGGCUUAACACAUGCAAGUCGAGGGGAAACGACAUCGAAAGCUUGCUUUUGAUGGGCGUCGACCGGCGCACGGGUGAGUAACGCGUAUCCAACCUGCCCAUCACUUGGGAAUAACCUUGCGAAAGUAAGACUAAUACCCAAUGAUAUCCCACGAAGGCAUCGGAAUGGGAUUAAAGAUUUAUCGGUGAUGGAUGGGGAUGCGUCUGAUUAGCUUGUUGGCGGGGUAACGGCCCACCAAGGCAACGAUCAGUAGGGGUUCUGAGGGGAAGGUCCCCCACAUUGGAACUGCGACACGGUCCCAUCUCCUACGGGAGGCAGCAGUGAGGAAUAUUGGUCAAUGGGCGAGAGCCCGAACCAGCCAAGUAGCGUGCAGGAAGACGGCCCUAUGGGUGGUAAACUGCUUUUAUAAGGGAAUAAAGUGGUUCACGUGUGACUUUUUGCAUGUACCUUAUGAAUAAGGACCGGCUAAUUCCGUG
rnacentral:rRNA from 1 species